AUCUCUCGCGGGGUGCGUAGGCGU
rnacentral:miRNA from 1 species